CGUAUAUUAAAGUUGUUGCAGUUAAAAAGCUCGUAGUUGGAUUUGUGGUGGUGCCUGCGGUCCAAAAUGUUUUGGUGCUGUGUGGCACUGCCAUCCUUGGGUGGAACCUGUGGGGCAUUAGGUUGUUUUGCAGGGGAUGCCCAUCGUUUACUGUGAAAAAAUUAGAGUGUUCAAAGCAGGCUUACGCCGUUGAAUAUAUUAGCAUGGAAUAAUGAGAUAGGACUCUGGUGCUAUUUUGUUGGUUUGCGCACCGAAGUAAUGAUUAAUAGGGACAGUUGGGGG
rnacentral:rRNA from 1 species